UUGCACUACACCUGCUGGAUCGCCACAGGUCAUUCAUUCACUUAAUAUAUAUUGCACUACACCUGCUGGGUCGCCACAGGUCAUUCAUUCUCAUUAUAUAUAUUGUACUACACCUGCUGGAUCGCCACAGGUCAUUCAUUCACUUUAUAUAUAUUGCACUACACCUGCUGGAUCGCCACAGGUCAUUCAUUCACUUUAUAUAUUUUGCACUACACCUGCUGGAUCGCCACAGGUCGUUCAGUCUCUUUAUAUAUAUUGCACUACACCUGCUGGAUCGCCACAGGUCAUUCAUUCUCUUUAUAUAUUGCACUACACCUGCUGGAUCGCCACAGGUCAUUCAUUCACUUUAUAUAUAUUGUACUUCAC